GCCGACGUAGCUCAACUCGGCAGAGCAACCGACUUGUAAUCGGUAGGUUACGGGUUCAAGUCCCGUCGUCGGCU
rnacentral:tRNA from 1 species